CGGAUAUAGUUCAUCGGUAGAACGACGGCUUCCCAAGCCGUAGAGGUGGGUUCGAUUCCCAUUAUCCG
rnacentral:tRNA from 1 species